CACAGGACAGACCUCGUUCGUGGCAUAGCUGGGACCUGGAAUGCAGUUUCCCUUCCUCAGGGGCGCCUGUCCUCGUGUUUCAGGCCUUCAGCUGUCCCUCCUGUGCCCCUGAAGGCAGCCACACGCGGCUCCGGCCACCUGUGGUGGCCUGGCAGAGCUGGCAGCCAGGGCCCUCCCCAGGCAGCCCCGCCCCGGGUGCAGAAGGGCAGCAAGGCAGAUGAGGAUCCUGAGCCACUAGAGUCGAAACUUGCCCAACGCACAUGAAACAGUUAAAACCAGGGCUUUCCUGGUUGGCAGUGGGGGCAGGGAAGGAGUCCAGGCACCCCGGGUCUCGCUCACCACGCAUCUCUGGAAGGACCUUGGCAGAGUCCAAGGGGUUCAACAAACAAGUCUAAACCGCUGGGCUCGCCUGUGCUCACGUGGACACCUGACGCCCAGGCAAACAGAGCUCACACACGUGGCUUUCUACAGGGAGUGAAAAGGUUUUCAUCACAACCAUCAACUUCAAAGGCUUGGAACCUGGAACAAACGCUCUUGUGCUUCUUCCGGAGUUCUGUACCCCUCAGGCAAGAAGCUUGUUCUCUGGAAGGUAAUUGCCGCACCCCUGUGACUGCGGAGGCUUAAAGUAACAGCCUAGCCGGUGAUCAAACAGAGCUGGGCACCAGGAGGUCUGUUCCGUGUGGUUCUAGCCCCUCGGCAACAUCACCUCAU